rnacentral:rRNA from 1 species
UAAUACAGAGGUGCCGAGCGUUAGGCGGAAUCACUGGGCUUAAAGCGUGCGUAGGCGGGCGUCUAAGUGUCUUGUGAAAUCCCGCGGCUCAACCGCGGAACUGUUGGGCAUACUGGACGCCUUGAGGCACACAGGGGCGAGCGGAACAAGUGGUGGAGCGGUGAAAUGCGUAGAUAUCACUUGGAACGCCGACGGUGAAAACAGCUCGCUGGGUGUGUUCUGACGCUGAGGCACGAAAGCCAGGGGAGCGAACGGGAUUAGAUACCCCGGUAGUCCUGGCCCUAAACGAUGUCCACUGGGUCGCGGCGGCUCUGACGCCGUCGCGGCCGGAGCAAAAGUGUUAAGUGGACCGCCUGGGAAGUACGGUCGCAAGGCUA